rnacentral:lncRNA from 1 species
AUAAACAACGAUCCGCCCUUCCUAUUUUUCUUCAGUCUCUUUCUUACAUACCUGUGUUUCACCACUCGGAUUAUCUCUUCGGCAACGUCUUCCUGGUGGUGGAAGUGGUGAACACUGACUGCUAAGUAACAAGUUAGCAAAAUGGGACCUGGUGGACCGGGAGGAGGGCCGGGAGGACCAGGUGGACCGGGAGGAUGGGGAGGAGGACCUGGUGGUUGGGGUCCUGGCCCUGGAGGACCUGGCGGAUUUGGGCCCGGAGGUCCUGGUUGGGGUCCGGGACCUGGAGGUCCCUGGGGCCCUGGAUUUGGAGGUCCUGGUUUUUGGCCUGGUGGGUUCUUUGGCGGCUUUGCAGAUGGUUUGUGCAAUAUGAUAUCUUCCUGGUAAGCAAUCAAAUCUUUACUCAAUUCCGGUAUAGUUAAAUGCGGUUUGAUUGAGGUUAAAUUUGAUUGGGAUUGC